rnacentral:rRNA from 1 species
AUUGAACGCUGGCGGCAUGCUUUACACAUGCAAGUCGAACGGUAACAGGUUAAGCUGAUGAGUGGCGAACGGGUGAGUAAUGCAUCGGAACGUGCCCGGUCGUGGGGGAUAACGCAGCGAAAGCUGCGCUAAUACCGCAUACGAGCUGAGGACGAAAGCGGGGGACCGUAAGGCCUCGCGCGGUCGGAGCGGCCGAGGGCAGAUUAGGUAGUUGGUAGGGUAAAGGCUCACCAAGCCGACGAGCGGUAGCUGGUCUGAGAGGACGACCAGCCACACUGGGACUGAGACACGGCCCAGACUCCUACGGGAGGCAGCAGUGGGGAAUUUUGGACAAUGGGCGCAAGCCUGAUCCAGCAAUGCCGCGUGCAGGAAGAAGGCCUUCGGGUUGUAAACUGCUUUUGUACGGAGCGAAAAGGCUCUCUCUAAUACAGGGGGCUCAUGACGGUACCGUAAGAAUAAGCACCGGCUAACUACGUGCCAGCAGCCGCAGUAA